AGUGAACGCUGGCGGUAGGCCUAACACAUGCAAGUCGAACGGCAGCACAGUAAGAGCUUGCUCUUACGGGUGGCGAGUGGCGGACGGGUGAGGAAUACAUCGGAAUCUACUUUUUCGUGGGGGAUAACGUAGGUAAACUUACGCUAAUACCGCAUACGACCUACGGGUGAAAGCAGGGGAACUUCGGACCUUGCGCGAUUGAAUGAGCCGAUGUGGGAUUUGCUAGUUGGCGGGGUAAAGGCCCACCAAGGCGACGAUCCGUAGCUGGUCUGAGUGGAUGGUCAGCCACACUGGAACUGAGACACGGACCAGACUCCUACGGGAGGCAGCAGUGGGGAAUAGUGGACAAUGGGCGCAAGCCUGAUCCAGCCAUACCGCGUGGGUGAAGAAGGCCUUCGGGUUGUAAAGCCCUUUUGUUGGGAAAGAAAAGCAGCAGGUUAAUACCACGCUGUUCUGACGGUACCCAAAGAAUAAGCACCGGCUAACUUCGUG
rnacentral:rRNA from 1 species